rnacentral:misc_RNA from 1 species
GAAAUGCGAUAAGUAAUGUGAAUUGCAGAAUUCAGUGAAUCAUCGAAUCUUUGAACGCACCUUGCGCUCCUUGGUAUUCCUUGGAACAUGCCUGUUUGAGUAUCAUGAAAUCUUCAAAGUAAAUCUUUUGUUAACUCAAUUGGUUUCUACUUUGGUAUUGGAGGUCUUUGCAGCUUCACACCUGCUCCUCUUUGUUCAUUAGCUGGAUCUCAGUGUUAUGCUUGGUUCCUCUCGGCGUGAUAAGUUAUCUAUCGCUGAGGACACUGUAAAAGGUGGCCAAGGUAAAUGCAGAUGAACCGCUUCUAAUAGUCCAUUGACUUGGACAAUACUUUUAUGAUCUGAUCUCAAAUCAGGUAGGACUACCCGCUGAACUUAAGC